rnacentral:lncRNA from 1 species
CAUCCUCAUCAUCCGAAAAGAAAACAGAGACAAAACAGAUUUGUUUCAAUGACAUAUCUAAUCAGACUGAAAUUGAUGUCGAAGACACGAUCAUUCACAUCAAUUUCAGCAGGCGGGAAGGGCGCGGAAGCUACCGUUUAACGAAUGCAAUGCAAGCAAGGUAGCUUGCUUACUCUCCAUCUAGCGCGCGUUGGCGGCAAGGAAGGAGGCAUUGGAAAGACUAGACCAUACACA